UCCGGAGGGGGCUAGCGUUGUUCGGAAUUACUGGGCGUAAAGCGCACGUAGGCGGCUUUGUAAGUUAGAGGUGAAAGCCCAGGGCUUAACCCUGGAAUUGCCUUUAAGACUGCAUCGCUAGAAUCGUGGAGAGGUGAGUGGAAUUCCGAGUGUAGAGGUGAAAUUCGUAGAUAUUCGGAAGAACACCAGUGGCGAAGGCGACUCACUGGACACGUAUUGACGCUGAGGUGCGAAAGCGUGGGGAGCAAACAGG
rnacentral:rRNA from 1 species